AUUGAACGCUGGCGGCAGGCCUAACACAUGCAAGUCGAGGGUAGCGGCGGACGGGGGAGGAAUGCCUAUGAAUCUGCCUGGUAGUGGUGGAUAACGUCCGGAAAGGGGAGCUAAUACCGCAUACUAUCAGCAGAGCCUGGGCCGGAUUACUAGUUGGUGGGGUAAAGGCCUACCAAGGCGACGAUCCCUAGCUGGUCUGAGAGGAUGAUCAGCCACACUGGGACUGAGACACGGCCCAGACUCCUACGGGAGGCAGCAGUGGGGAAUAUUGCACAAUGGGCGCAAGCCUGAUGCAGCCAUGCCGCGUGUAUGAAGAAGGCCUUCGGGUUGUAAAGUACUUUCAGUCGGGAGGCGUUACCGACAGAAGAAGCACCGGCUAACUCCGGCCAGCAGCCGCGGUAAUAC
rnacentral:rRNA from 1 species